rnacentral:lncRNA from 14 species
UCCAAUCGAUGGCUUUCAACACCUCGCUCGUCUACUUGAAGCUGAAAACCAGAAGUUUUCGAUGAUUAGCUACUGAAUCGGAGUUCGGGAUUCGGUGACGGCUGAAACCUUCACCUUCUGCACUGGCCACACGACAAGUGAAAGAAGCAGCACCGACAGAAAAAACGAAAAGAAAAAAAAACAACCAAGAUCAACUUCUCGAUUGGAUGGUCGCCUAAUGGACGCAAAGAGGGAAAAAGGCAACGAAAAGAUGGAGUUCAGCGAGCCAGGAGGCAAAAUGUUUAAUUUUUUCGCUUUUUCUUUUCUUUUAUGUUUUUUUUCUCUUAUUUUUUUGUCAUUUUUAUUAAUUUUCAAUAAAUUUGUAUUGGUGAACUCUAUUUUCAGUUUACAGAGAAUAUUAGGACCUGGGGAGGGGAGGAACUGCUGCGCGGCGGCGUGGAUCCUAUAUGCUUUGGUCGGCGCAUGGAUCCUAUAUGCUCGCACAAUGCGCCCACAUAUGUUUCGUAUUUCGAGCAUAUACAACACCGCGCGAUCCCAUAUAACGUUCCUCGCGAUUCACCUGUGUA